rnacentral:lncRNA from 1 species
GGAAGAGAAACAAUAGUAAGGAAGAUGAAUCAUACAGGAAUAUCUUCGUUCCAAUUCUCAAAUGCCACAAGGAAAAAGAUUGUAUGGUUAAGCAAAUUCACAUGUGCAAAAGCAAACAACUCCAUUGAGAAAAAACAACUCCAUUGGGAAGGGAAAGGUAAAGUAAAUAAUAAUAUGUACACCAAAUAAAUUACCAUCGCUUUGAAAAUAGUCAAUCAUGGCAGUCUUUCAAAUCUGUUAAGUCUUCACCAAAUCAAAAACUCAAAGCAGUUGAUUGGAGAGUCUACACUUUUACCUGCUUCAAUUCAGUUAAGAUUCCAAUUUUGCGAUGUAUAGAAAUCAUGAAGAGGAAAAAAAUCGUAAUCGUAAAGGCCAAAAGAAUCUUACAGAUAUGGAAACAAACAGUAAACCCAUCCACCAUGCCGAGGAUUCAUAGCAAAUAAAUCUGCACAAGAUGUCGAGAAAUUAGAGCUGAGAGAAUAGCGGAUAGAAAGAUUAUACAAAAAGAGAGGGAAAAAAAAAAAAGAAAAAAAAGAC